GAGCGAACGCUGGCGGCAGGCCUAAUACAUGCAAGUCGAACGGCUCUUCGGAGCAGUGGCGGACGGGUGAGUAACGCGUGGGAACGUGCCCUAAGGUACGGAACAACUGAGGGAAACUUCAGCUAAUACCGUAUGUGCCCUUCGGGGGAAAGAUUUAUCGCCUUAGGAGCGGCCCGCGUUGGAUUAGCUAGUUGGUGGGGUAAAGGCCCACCAAGGCUACGAUCCAUAGCUGGUCUGAGAGGAUGAUCAGCCACACUGGGACUGAGACACGGCCCAGACUCCUACGGGAGGCAGCAGUAGGGAAUCUUGCGCAAUGGGCGAAAGCCUGACGCAGCCAUGCCGCGUGAAUGAUGAAGGUCUUAGGAUUGUAAAAUUCUUUCACCGGGGAAGAUAAUGACGGUACCCGGAGAAGAAGCCCCGGCUAACUUCGUGCCAGCAGCCGCGGUAAUACGAAGGGGGCUAGCGUUGCUCGGAAUUACUGGGCGUAAAGGGCGCGUAGG
rnacentral:rRNA from 1 species